AUCCUCCAUCAAUAGAACCUGCCCUUAUGAUUAUUACAAAUUCUUCCUCAAGGCCGUUGCCCUGCACUCUGUUUAUCAUUCCUGUUGUAAAGUUCACAGGUGCUUUGUCACUUCGCUAGGAGUUUCUGUGUAGCUAUCCCUGAAGCUUUGUUGUGCUAACCGUCACCUGGAAACCUUUCCCAAAGUUUGAGUGUGUUUAAAUGUGUAAGAAUAAUAAACUGAGGGUCAGACUCUUCAGCGGUCUUGGCCCAGUGUGACUGACCAAGAAGUCUACAAUGAGUUCUCAAUCUCACUUAUACUUCACUUUCUAUCCUGCUGGCACGGAGACCGGCAGGAACCCCACAAUUUCUGAUGCCUGAACGUGGGGCACAAGACUCCUGGAGAAGGGUGAAAAGACCAUGCACCUGGCAGUCCUCUUUGCCACAGUUAAAGAACACAUGUCACGGAACUUCACCACCACCCUAAGAUGACGACGUGGUAUAAACCAACUAAAGCGACAGCUCAUGAAACUCAGUCUCACCACGCCUGCUGCUAAUUACUGUAUAUUCUUUAUAGAUGAAGGAAGCAACUACAGGUCUCCAAGAUUUUUCAAUUAGGAUGGAUUUUUGUAUGAUGAUAAAUUCUUAAGGUUAUAAAGGCUUACUCAGGUUAACAAAAGCCGACUUAGAGAUGUAUGUCUAAAUACUUGAUGUCUGCUUCUAGAAAAUUUUAAAUAAAUAAUAAUGCAUGUUUGAUAAAUAAGGUCUAAAUUCUAUGGCCUUUUCAGGAUAACAGAAAGUAACUUAAAAAUGUCCGUCUGUCAGUCUGUCUGUCCAUCUAAUCUAUCUAUCUUCUAUCUAUCUAUCCAUCCAUCUACCCACCCGUCCAUCCAUCAUCUCUCUAUAUAUCUAUCUUUAGCGAGACGGGAAACUAGUCAGUCAAAGAUAUGGAAUAUCAUGCUGAAUAAAGAAUGGAGAAAAGAAAA